rnacentral:RNase_P_RNA from 2 species
UGAGCCGCCUAGACGAUCGCGGCGGGGUGCAUCGACGCUUACGCGUGCCGGCACCCCGACGAGGAAAGUCCGGACUCCGAAGAGCACGGUGGUUGCUAACGGCAACCCGGGGCAACCCGCGGGACAGUGCAACAGAAAGUAGACCGCCAGGGAGACCUGGUAAGGGUGAAACGGUGCGGUAAGAGCGCACCAGCGCGCUGGGUGACCAGCGCGGCUAUGUAAACCCCAUCGGGAGCAAGGCAAGAAGCCCGCGCGGUGCGCGGGCACGCGGAUGAUUGAGGGCUGCUCGCCCGAGUCCGUGGGUAGCUGCUUGAGGCGGCCAGCGAUGGUUCGUCCAGAUGGAUGAUCGUCGCUUUCCCGGGUCCACCCGGGAAAGUACAGAAUCCGGCUUACAGGGUGGCUCAUUCG